rnacentral:lncRNA from 1 species
CCACUCUCCACCCACCACAGUCUGACCGGAGGCUUGGCAAAUGGGAUCGUAAUCCCCAAGCCUUCGGGACCUGAGGGUUCCCUGAGUACCUGCCCAUCAGUACUUAGAGAAGCAUCCAUGCUCUUGUCAGUGGAACCCUCUGGAGAGUCAGGACAGGGCAGCCUUCAGGAAGUGGAGAGCCCAGCCCCAAGCUUCCCUCCCAGAAGGAGAAGAGCUUGCAGCCAGAAGAGGGAGCCAGCAGGCUGUGGACAAAUUCGGGCUCAUGUCCACAUCUGUUGGCUGGACAUGGUGUCAGCAGGCAAGGCCUGGGGUCGCUGAGGGGGCUGCAGAGUGGCCAGGAAGGUCAUGGAAGGAUCCAGGAGAGAGUGCUGUGGGCGCCUGUGAAUGAGAAGGCCCAGGACACGGAGGCGGCCAUCAGACUGUUCGUAAAUAAAUGGAAACCCGAUCUCCAAAGCUAACCUCGCUUCUUACAGUGUCUAAACCUCACAAACAUCCUGCCGUUUGAGUCUGCAAUGAGCUGCCAACACGAGCCCCUGGUGUUGCUCACCACAAGUGAACCUGAGCAGUGCCCCAUGGGCUGGUUUCAGGAGCUCAGCUGCAGCCCGAGGGCCCAGGGUCACCUGCAUCCUCUGCGGUUUGCGUUGGUCUGGGAGCUGGCGGGGCCGGAGGGGAAAGCCCAGGGGUAUGGGGAAGUGGCUGCAGCCCUCGACCGCUCCUCCGAGUCAUGUCUCAGUGCAAUCAGACCUGGGCCUGGGAGCUUAGCUCCAACACGAUUUACAAUUCAAUUGUGAAAUGGGAUAAAAAUUAGACAUCCCCCUUCGGGCAUCUCAAUUUUCUUUGUUAAAGCUCCGGUUCCUCCUAGUAAAUUUAUCUAUUUCUAGAU